AUUCCGAACUCGACAGUUCGGACCCGGUGAAGACUCGCUCUCUCUUUUUUUAUUAACCGUACACGCGGACGGGCGCGGGGCGCCGUAGGCCCCUAGCUGCGGUGAUCCGCCGCUCUCGCAGCACCGUCGCGCUCGCCUCCGCCCGCCCGCUCGUCGAGUGGACGCGCGCUGCACCGCGACUCCAGUCAUGGCUAGUGUUACCGAUUCUUUCGUGGCGGAUCUUGAUGAGCUAUUGGAGUAUAGGACAGAGAAGACUAUCCUGGAGAUGAAAACGCAGAGACAGAAAACUUGGAAGAUGAUGCUAAUGAUAGUGUCCCUGACCUGAAAUCUCUUGAUCUUGAUAGUGUCUAAAAACAUCAGAAGGCACAAUGGUAUAAAGACAUAAUGAAGAUGCACUUGAAAGGUGACUCCAAUCAAGGGGCCAUUCUGCAAGAUCAAGAUACCAGCUUGUUGUUGAUUGCAAUGCUUCAUCAGUAGAUAUUGACAAUGAGAUUACUAUAAUCCACAAUUUCAUACGUGACAAGUUCAAGCUAAAGGACCCUCUACUAGAAUCCUGUGUUCACUAUCCGAUUGAUUAUGCCCGUGUUGUCUGGAAGAUUGGAAAUGACAUGGACUUAACACUUGAUUUGAAAGUUAUUUACCUUCUGCAGACAUGAUCACAAUGGCAGAAACGACAACUGGUGGGGAGCCUCUUUCUGAAGAUAAUUUAGUAAAUACUAUUGAAGCAUCCGACAGAGCUCUUAACCUUGAUGCCGACAAAGAAGAUGAUACUUGAAUUUUUGAAGGGCAGAAUGGGAUACGUUGCACGAAACCUUGCCGCCAUUGUUGGCAGUGCUGUUGCCUCGAAACCGAGUCGUGCUGCCGUGUUGGUGGUUUGGGAGCACUGGCCAAAAUGCCCGCUUGUAAUGUGCUGCACUGCUGCUUCUCGGUGCAAAAAAGACAAAUCUGUCUGGAUUCUCUACUGCGUCAGUGCAGUCUCGUAUUGGUUAUCUAGAACAAACUGAAGUAUUAUUUGAAAGCACACCUCCAUCUUUAAGAUUUCAGUCUAGUAGACUUAUAGCUGCAAAGUCAACACUAGCAACAAGGAUCGAUUGUAUAAGGCUAUCUUCAGCAGUUUACUCAUUCUCAUCUCUUAUUUUAACCUACACUCUAUAAACAGUGCAUUUUACAGUACAAAACAGUGUUUUACAUGUUCAUAUGCACGAUCUGCUGGCUAUAGCCUAAGAGAUGAUCCAACUAGAACGGUUGUGCAGAACUUGUUAGAAGAAAUUAGUAAGAAGAUUGAAAACUGGCAACAACUACCACCUGCAAGGCUUCCAAAGCCAAUUCCAAUUCCAGACUUUAUGCCUAAAAAGAAACGAGGGGUUGUUGGCUCCGGAAAAUGAAGGAAAGAUAAUUUAUUUGAAACUUUCUCAUGUCCAAAUUGAUUAAAACUAUUGUACUUCAUGUAAAAGAUUGCUAUAUAAUGCCCAUUCACAUGUCUCAUUUGCAUUUUGCAAUUUGUUAUAUUACUCGAGUUCCCUGGUUGCAUUACCUGUUUGGCUGUUUGUCUUAGUUGCAUUUUGCAACUUACUUUGUUAUAUCACUCUGAGUGACCCUUCAAUUUCCUCUUACCUUUUUGUAUUUGGGAACUCAAUUGUGAAGAUAUGCACAGACCAACACGAUGAAGCUUGUGAAUCGGAUGAAGUUUAGCAUGCCAGAGGAGAGCACAUUGGGUGAUGGCUUAGGGAAAGGUUACGGCUUGCUUGGGCAGGCUGGAAGCGGGAAGCUACGUGUGUCAGCUGGUCAAAGCAAACUUUCUACUAAAAUUGCUAAAAUUUUCAAAGAGAACAGUUCUGAGAGUAGUGUGUGAAGAUUGGGGUUGACAUCAAGCUUAGCAUUUUCGCCAGUUCAAUGCCAGUGAUGAAGGGACUAGGUGCAUAGAAGAAUUAAGAAGAGCAACUCUCGGAUCCGAACUGCUCUUUAAUUUGCUUGCUCCAAAGUCAUCAUCGACAACGCUCGCUGUACUUUCUUGGAAGUCACCACGCAGCUUAAGCCACAAAAAUAUACCAUGUAAUCUUGACUUGAUGC